AAAAAGAGAUGAUUACGUAACUUUGGAGAGAGCAGUUUUGGUUGCACAAGAGUUUAGAAGCUAGAUUUCAGAGAGUUGGAAAGAUAGUGAGGGGAAAAGAAGGAAAAGCACCUCAUAUGGAUGGUCAUCUCAAGAAGCCCUACUCACUGCAUCCUGGGCCAUCACCAGUUGUUCGGACCUAUGUCUUACCAUUGGACUAUGAUGGUAGAGGGAUUGAUGGUUUGGAACAGCUCUGCCUUACUUAAAUCCAAUUUAUUUGCAAGUUAAGAUAUCACCCUCUUGAUUUCAUUGGUGAGGAUGAAGGAAGAAUGAAGGACAAACAACAAGAGGCACAGACGUCCACCUGUAGCAGUUCUCUUCUGCAUUCCUUUCGGACAGGACAUACAUAGCAUUCGUCUUGGAUGGUGGACUAUUGACUUCAUGGCAAUUCAGACAAUCAUACUUGAAAUAAAAAUUCAAAAUAAUAUCAAAUUACAAUCCCAAGAGAUUUUACCUUAAAUAACAAUUUCAUUAAUUGUAGCUUAAGGUUAUGAUAUUAUUUUUCUCAUGUUGUAAUAACAGACAACAAUGAGGACAUAUGACAUCUUAUUCCUCCUUCAUUUACAUAUUAUGAAUAAUCAUAUUCUGAAGUCUCAGAUAUACAUUGAAUAUGGGAAAGUUGAUUUAAAACUCCAGAAAAAUGCUGACUACAGUUAAGUCUUUAAUCUGUAUUGUCUAUUAAUCUUGAAGCAAAAAUGAAAUCUUUGAAUCUAUGAUCUAUUGUUACUGCAUGUCAUUUAUUAACAGGUAGAGUUUCAUAUUUUUCUCAAGUAAUAGCCAAAUAAUCUACCAGGUAAAUUCACUCUGUACUGUAAAUAAAUUUGUAAGUUUUUACACUUUGACUGGGAGUGGUCCUCCUUUUUCAAACUUCAGUACUUUACAAUUUUACUGUAUGCUGUCAGCAGGACUGAUAAAAUCUUUUGACUCUGCCUGAA